UGGACGGCCUGCCUGUUGAGGCGAGGUUGUGGAUGUCCCUGGCCCCAGUGUUCCCUGCUUUGGAUGAUGUGGGGCAGCAUCCACUUGAAUGCACUUCACCAAGGAGGCCAAGGUUUUGGAAGGAAGCCCUUCCCCACUCCCAUCUCAAUAUUAGACCAUCGGAGCAUGGGACAGGAAGCUCUGGCCCCCCACCCUGGAGUCCUGAUCAGUGUACACAGCUGCCUGUCCCUUUCCCUUGUGUCCAUCUGUGAGCAGUCUUCUGCCAGGUCCGGGGUCAACCUGGGAGGCCCUUCUUUGCUCGCCGCCUUGACCUGGAAGCUUGGGUCAGCAGACCUAAGGCCAUCCUGGCAGCUGUACUGCUCACCCUGGUAGGUGGAGUCUUGUAGACUGCUGCUGGAUUUCUGCAACGUGCUAUUUGUGUGCGUAUGUGUGUGUGUGUGUGUGUGUGUGUGUGUGUGUGUGUGUGUGUGUAUCUGUGUCUGUGUCUGUAUGUGUGUGUGUAUCUGUGUGUGUGCGCGCACAUGUGUGAAGGACCUCAUGUAGAGGUUCAAGGAUAACUUUCAAGAUUCAGUUCUUUCCUUCCACCCUGGGACUUGGCGCUUACACUAUGGUUGUUGGGCUAGCACAGCAAACUCCUUUACUUGCUAAGC